ACUAUUUUUCAAGUCCUCCUUUAGUAUCACACCAAGUCAGUAAUUUCUUAACUAGAGUAAUAUGAAGAAAUCCAGUCAUUCUGGUAAAAUCAGGGACAUUGUCUCAUAUUCAGCUUGAAAAUACAUGGAGGGGCAAUAUAUAACAACAUAUUCAGAAUAUCAAUGGCCAUUGUUAGUACUUAUUCAUACAAACAAAAUCUGAAAGUUCUGAAGUUCUGAUUGAGUUUGUGUAUACUCAUGUUCUGCUAGUAUAAUGAUUGAAAGUGUGUAUACUUAUAUUCUGCUAGUAUAAUGAUUGAAAGUGUGUAUACUUAUAUUCUGCUAGUAUAAUAAUGAUUUAAAUAUUGUAAAAGUCAUAUUUUUGUGCCCUGAUUGACACUGAUUUUGCGUGGCUUUCUUGCUUUUCCAGUAGUCUUUUUUACUAGUUAGAGUUAUCAUGUUGACAUAAUAUUCCCUGGGGAAAAAAUAAACAUUUUUUCCCUGUUUAAUUCAAAACUAAUGCUCCUUUAAAGUAUCUUUAAAUAUAGCACUGGAUGUGUUGGAAAACUUUAUUUGGACACAGAGGAUUAUCAGAAAGUCCUCCAUUCAUAUUUACUUUGAUGAAAGAUUAUAUACCUUUAGAAAUUAUUAAAUAAAAUGCUCCGCAGGGCGCAGCUUGAUACGACCGCAGAGGUCGAACCCUGAACAGUUGGGGCAAGUAUGGACACAACAUUCAAGCUUGAUACAGCUCUGAAUUUGGAUUGUGAUUAAAUAUUUGACACAGCAUAGGUUUCUGACACAGAAUGAAUGUGGUCUAAGAACUUAAAAAUUUUAAAUUGGACAUUCACCUAUUAUGGUCCAAUAUCCAAAAUCUAAAUACAUGGUUAGAUUCAGCAUAUCAAAGAACCCCAAGAAUUCAAUUUUUGAUGAAAUCAAACAAAGUUUAAUUUUGGACCCUUUUGACCUCAAUGUGGACAAAGUUGAUAACGGGGCCCAAAAAUCAAAAAUCUAAAUACAUGGUUAGAUUCAUCAUAUCAAAGAACCCCAUAUAUUCAAUUUUUGUUGAAAUCAAACAAAGUUUAAUUUUGGACCCCGAUUUGGACCAACUUGAAAACUGGGCCCAUAAUCAAAAAUCUAAAUACAUGUUUAGAUUCAGCAUAGCAAAGAACCCUAAGAAUUCAAUUUCUGUUAAAAUCAAACUAAGUUUAAUUUUGGACCCUUUGGACCUUAAUGUAGGCCAAUUUGAAAACGGAACCAAAAAUUAAGAAUCUAAAUACACGGUUAGAUUCGGCAUAUCAAAGAACCCCAAUAAUUCAAUUUUUGAUGAAAUCAAACAAAGUUUAAUUUUGGACCCUUUGGACCUCAAUGUGGACCAAUUUAAAACGGGGCCCAAAAUCCAAUCAAAGCACGAAAGCGCUGUAAAGGCAGUUAAUUACAGGUUGUGUGUAUUUUAAGUCCAGUUAUAUCAUUAUCUUGCAUAGUACAGUGUACUUAUCAGAGGUGGCUUUCAGUAUUUAAGAUUUAGAGUUCUCUAAUGAUAUUGAAUAAGUUUUAUGAAUGUCAUAUUCUGAGCACUAUAUGAAGGCAAUUGUUCUCACUUGUUUAUGAACUAGUGCAUUAUGUCCAGUUUGUACCUUUUUUAUCUAUGUUUAUAGUCAAAUUAGUUAUCAAAGGUACCAGGAUUAUAAUUUAAUACGCCAGACGUGUGUUUCGUCUACAUAAGACUCAUCAGUGACGUUCAGAUCAAAAUAGUAACAAAGCCAAACAAGUACUAAGUUGAAGAGCAUUGAGGACCCAAAAUUCCAAAAAGUUCUGCCAAAUACGGCUAAGGUAAUCUAUUCCUUGGAUAAGAAAAUCCCUAGUUUUUUCAUUGGCAAUCAUAACACAUCUCCUUAUUUAUAUAAUGAUCUAUAUUCAACGACCCCAGGUACAAAAAAAAUGUAUGUAACUAAACUAUGAUGGGAAACCUUUGACUUCUUUCUUUAUAUAAACUUUUGAUUUGGUACCAUAGAACUAUGUAGAGUAAAUGUACAUUGCAACAUGUCAACUCUUUCAACUCCAAGCAAAAUUAUAUUUCCAAGCAUAAAGUAAUUUAUGAAUGAAAUAAAAUGCUCCGCUGGGGCGCAGCUUGAUACGACCGCAGAGGUCGAACCCUGAACAGUUGGGGCAAGUAUGAACACAACAUUCAAGCUUGAUUCAGCACUGAAUUUGGAUUGUAAUUAAAUAUUUGACACAGCAUAGGUUUCUGACACAGAAUGAAAGUGGUCGAAGAUACUUAAAAAAAUUUAAUUUACCUAUUCAAACCAUAUCAUUAUUAUUUGCUUUUAUAUAUAAAUCAGAAAUAACCAAUCUAAAAUGGAAAAUUUUAAAGAAAAAAAAGGAAAAAGAAUCCCCCCCCCCAAAUUUUUUGAACCCCCUUAUGAUUCAUCACCCCAAAACUCAAUCCCAGCCUUCCCUUUGUGGUAUGGUACCUUGCAGUACAAUUUCAUAAAGAUCCAUACACUUGAACACAUGUUAUUGUCUGGAAACUAGAAAAAUGCUUGUUUUUUGGCCCCUUUUUGGUCCCAAAUUCCUAAACUUUUAGGACAAUUACCCCCAAACUCAAACCCAGCUUUCCCUUUGUGAUAUGCAACCUUGUAGUACAAUUUCAUAAAGAUCCAUACACUUACACACAAGUUAUUGCCAUGAAACUAGAAAAAUGCUUGUUUUUUGACCCUUUUUGGCCCCUAAUUCCUAAAAUUUGGAGGCAAUUACCCCCAAAAUCAAUCCCAGCAUUCCCUUUGUGAUAUGGAACCAUGUGAUACAAUGUCAGAGAGAUCCAUAGACUUACACACAAGUUAUUGUCAUGAAACUAGAAAAAUGCUUGUUUUUUUCCCCUUUUUGGCCCCUAAUUCCUAAAAUUUGGAGGCAAUUACCCCCAAAAUCAAUCCCAGCAUUCCCUUAGUGGUAUGGUACCUUGCAGUACAAUUUCAGAGAGAUCCAUACACUUGAACACAAGUUAUUGUCUGGAAACUAGAAAAAUGCUUAUUUUUGGCCCCUAAUUCCUUAACUGUUGGUACCAUAACCCCCAAAAUCAAUCCCCACUUUCCCUUUGUGGUAUUGAACCUUAUUUUAAAAUUUCAUUGAGAUCCAUUCACUUAAACUAAAGUUAGAGUGCGAAAACUAAUGUGUCUUCGGACGACGA